GGGACAUGGGCAGUGGGCAUGGUGGGGAUGGGCUGGGGUUGGGCUUGGGGAUCUCGGAGGUCUUUUCCAACCUGAAUAAUUCUAUGAUUCU
rnacentral:miRNA from 12 species